rnacentral:ncRNA from 1 species
AGAACUGUGCAAAAUAGAUAAGUUGGCUUGUUUGUAAACAAACUUCUCCAACUUCCUAAUUUUGCUUUGUUCU